rnacentral:rRNA from 1 species
UGGCGGCGUGCCUAAUACAUGCAAGUCGAGCGAGCUGAAUUCAAAGAUUCCUUCGGGAUGAUUUGUUGGACGCUAGCGGCGGAUGGGUGAGUAACACGUGGGCAAUCUGCCCUAAAGACUGGGAUACCACUUGGAAACUGGUGCUAAUACCGGAUAACAACAUGAAUCGCAUGAUUCAAGUUUGAAAGGCGGCGCAAGCUGUCACUUUAGGAUGAGCCCGCGGCGCAUUAGCUAGUUGGUGGGGUAAAGGCCUACCAAGGCAAUGAUGCGUAGCCGAGUUGAGAGACUGAUCGGCCACAUUGGGACUGAGACACGGCCCACACUCCUACGGGAGGCAGCAGUAGGGAAUCUUCCACAAUGAACGCAAGUCUGAUGGAGCAACGCCGCGUGAGUGAAGAAGGUUUUCGGAUCGUAAAGCUCUGUUGUUGGUGAAGAAGGAUAGAGGCAGUAACUGGUCUUUAUUUGACGGUAAUCAACCAGAAAGUCACGGCUAACUACGUGCCAGCAGCCGCGGUAAUACGUAGGUGGCAAGCGUUGUCCGGAUUUAUUGGGCGUAAAGCGAGCGCAGGCGGAAUGAUAAGUCUGAUGUGAAAGCCCACGGCUCAACCGUGGAACUGCAUCGGAAACUGUCAUUCUUGAGUGCAGAAGAGGAGAGUGGAACUCCAUGUGUAGCGGUGAAAU